UAGGGAAUCUUCUCGCAAUGGACGAAAGUCUUGACGGAGCAACGCCGCGUGAGCGAAGAAGGCCUUCGGGUCGUAAAGCUCUGUUGUUAGGGAAGAACAAGUAUCGGAGUAACUGCCGGUACCUUGACGGUACCUAACCAGAAAGCCACGGCUAACUACGUGCCAGCAGCCGCGGUAAUACGUAGGUGGCAAGCGUUGUCCGGAAUUAUUGGGCGUAAAGCGCGCGCAGGCGGUCCUUUAAGUCUGAUGUGAAAGCCCACGGCUCAACCGUGGAGGGUCAUUGGAAACUGGGGGACUUGAGUGCAGAAGAGGAGAGUGGAAUUCCACGUGUAGCGGUGAAAUGCGUAGAGAUGUGGAGGAACACCAGUGGCGAAGGCGACUCUCUGGUCUGUAACUGACGCUGAGGCGCGAAAGCGUGGGGAGCAAACAGGAUUAGAUACCCUGGUAGUCCACGCCGUAAACGAUGAGUGCUAAGUGUUAGAGGGUUUCCGCCCUCUAGUGCUGCAGCUAACGCAUAAGCACUCCGCCUGGGAGUACGGCCGCAAGGCUG
rnacentral:rRNA from 1 species